rnacentral:rRNA from 1 species
UACGUAGGGUGCAAGCGUUGUCCGGAAUUAUUGGGCGUAAAGAGCUCGUAGGCGGUCUGUUGCGUCGGCUGUGAAAACCCGAGGCUCAACCUCGGGCCUGCAGCCGAUACGGGCAGACUAGAGUUCGGCAGGGGAGACUGGAAUUCCUGGUGUAGCGGUGAAAUGCGCAGAUAUCAGGAGGAACACCGAUGGCGAAGGCAGGUCUCUGGGCUGUAACUGACGCUGAGGAGCGAAAGCAUGGGGAGCGAACAGG